UACGAAGGGGGCUAGCGUUGUUCGGAAUCACUGGGCGUAAAGCGUACGUAGGCGGACCAUUAAGUCGGGGGUGAAAUCCCAGGGCUCAACCCUGGAACUGCCUUCGAUACUGGUGGUCUGGAAUCCGGAAGAGGCGAGUGGAAUUCCUGGUGUAGCGGUGAAAUGCGCAGAUAUCAGGAGGAACACCAAUGGCGAAGGCAGCUCGCUGGGACGGUAUUGACGCUGAGACGCGAAAGCGUGGGGAGCAAACAGG
rnacentral:rRNA from 1 species